GAGGGAAAGAGAGACUGAGGCGAGAGGGGCUCCUACAUCGACGCUCAAGCCUCUCUCCACUGCCGUCAGCCCUCCUACCCACCAAUUUACCAUCCCCAUCUUCAUUUGCCGAAUCUGUCGAGUUCAUCAAGAAGACCAUCUUCUCCUACAAGAUCGCCAUCUUAUCCAAGUCCUAUUGCCCAUACUCCCUCUUCUUCCAUCCCACUCUUGUGAUUUCAUUUUUUAAUGGGUCAUUGUCUGCUAGACCUAAUUCGGAUUUGAUUUUGACUUUUUCAUUGAUUUUACCGUUCUUUUGAUUUGUUGUUUUGUUGGGUGAUUUGGAGGUUAGCGUUUUCAAAGAGUUGAAACAUAUGUUCCCUAUGUGAUUGAGCUUGAUAGAAGAGGAAACUGUUUGAUCACUACAAAUGCAGCAUUGGUGACUAGCAUAUCACCUUAUAAUGUCUUGCAGAGAAGAAAAACAUAUGAUAACUUUAAAAUUGUAUAUUGCUACUGAAGGCCCUGGAAAGAUGCUUUGUAAGUUGGACCAGGAAGCGGUGGAGAUGGCAUGCUAGGACCUCCUACUGACCUCAGCAUUAAGGUAUUGCAAUGAGAAUGAAAUUUUGGCAGAUUUGGAACCAAAUUUGGUCACAACAAGGAAGUAAAGGAAAGCGACUCAAAGUUCUUGAAGAAGCAAACGAUGUAGUUUUAUGUAGAUUAGGAUAAAUAUGUAUUGUCGUCAUAAAAACUUAUUCUUACGCUUCAAAUGAUUGUGUAAUUGAAGUAGAUAAUUAAAAUCUAAUGAAGUGUUACUUU